rnacentral:rRNA from 1 species
UCAGGUGUGUGGCCGGGGGGGCGGGACGGCGUAGGGGGGGAGGGUGGUGCGGAUUUAGUGGGGGGAAAGGGCGGGUAGGCGUGCGGCGAAGUCAGAGGUGAAAAGCCAGGGUGCAACCCUGGAACUGCCUCUGAAACGGGUAGACGGGAGUGGUCUAGAGGGCAGUGGAAUUCCCGGUGUAGCAGUGAAAGGCGUAGAGAUCGGGAGGAACACCAGGGGCGAAGGCGACUGCCUGGGGAGUAACUGAUGCUGAGGCGCGAAAGCUGGGGGAGCAAACGGGAUUAGAUUACCCCAGUAGUC